GACGAACGCUGGCGGCGUGCUUAACACAUGCAAGUCGAACGGAAAGGCCCUGCUUUUGUGGGGUGCUCGAGUGGCGAACGGGUGAGUAACACGUGAGUAACCUUCCCUUGACUUUGGGAUAACUUCAGGAAACUGGGGCUAAUACCGGAUAGGAGCUCCUGCUGCAUGGUGGGGGUUGGAAAGUUUCGGCGGUUGGGGAUGGACUCGCGGCUUAUCAGCUUGUUGGUGGGGUAGUGACUUACCAAGGCUUUGACGGGUAGCCGGCCUGAGAGGGUGACCGGCCACAUUGGGACUGAGAUACGGCCCAGACUCCUACGGGAGGCAGCAGUGGGGAAUAUUGCACAAUGGGCGGAAGCCUGAUGCAGCAACGCCGCGUGCGGGAUGACGGCCUUCGGGUUGUAAACCGCUUUCGCCUGUGACGAAGCGUGAGUGACGGUAAUGGGUAAAGAAGCACCGGCUAACUACGUG
rnacentral:rRNA from 1 species